GACGAACGCUGGCGGCGUGCUUAACACAUGCAAGUCGAACGGAAAGGCCCUGCUUUUGUGGGGUUCUCGAUUGGCGAACGGGUGAGUAACACGUGAGUAACCUGCCCUUGACUUUGGGAUAACUUCAGGAGACUGGGGCUCAUACCGGAUAGGAUCUCCUGCUGCAUGGUGGGGGUUGGAAAGUUUCGGCGGUGGGGGAUGGACUCGCUGCUUAUCAGCUUGUUGGUGGGGUAGUUGCUUACCAAGGCUUUGACGGGUAGCCGGCCUGAGAGGGUGACCGGCCACAUUGGGCCUACGAUAGGGCGCAGAAUCCUACGGGAGGCAGAAGUGGGGAACAUUGCACAAUGGGGGGAAGCGUGAUGUAGAAACGCCGGGUGCGGGAUGACGGCUUUUGGGUUGUAAACAGAUUCCGAAUGUGACGAAGAGUGAGUGACGGUAAUGGGUAAAGAAGCACCGGCUAACUACGUG
rnacentral:rRNA from 1 species